rnacentral:rRNA from 1 species
UACGUAGGUGGCAAGCGUUGUCCGGAUUUACUGGGCGUAAAGAGCGCGCAGGCGGUCGUUCAAGUCGCGUGUGAAAGCCCCCGGCUCAACUGGGGAGGGUCACGCGAUACUGAUCGACUCGAAGGCAGGAGAGGGUAGUGGAAUUCCCGGUGUAGUGGUGAAAUGCGUAGAUAUCGGGAGGAACACCGGUGGCGAAGGCGGAUCUCUGGGCCAUUACUGACGCUGAGGAGCGAAAGCAUGGGGAGCGAACAGG